AAAGCAAGGAUAAAAAUAGCGACGGUGGUAAAAACAAUGAUGAUAACGAUGAUAACGAUGAUGAUGAUGAUGAUGAUGAUGAUGAUGAAGGAAAUCCUAUAACGAGAACGACAAGGGUGACAACAGUAGUAACUUUAAAAGAAAAAAAAAUGAGUGGUGGUGACAGUGAUAGAGGCACAAGGCCCGAAAUUUUGUGGGAGGGGACCAGUCGAUUAG
rnacentral:lncRNA from 1 species